rnacentral:rRNA from 1 species
UACGGAGGGUGCAAGCGUUAAUCGGAAUUACUGGGCGUAAAGCGCGCGUAGGCGGUUUGUUAAGCUAGCUGUGAAAGCCCUGGGCUCAACCUGGGAACUGCAGUUAGAACUGACAGGCUAGAGUACAGCAGAGGAUAGUGGAAUUUCUAGUGUAGCGGUGAAAUGCGUAGAUAUUAGAAGGAACACCAGUGGCGAAAGGC